rnacentral:lncRNA from 1 species
GAGUUCUCUCCUCCCAAGUGCGAGGUCCUGGGUUUAUUUAUUUAUAAGUAAGUAAAAUAAAGGUUUUGUGUCCAACUACCACUAAAAAAUAUAUAUAUAUUAAAAAAUAAAAAUAAAAAACAGUACACAUGGCAUUUUCUUAGGUCACACUCAAUUGGAACUCACAAGCCACAACAAAUUCCACAGUCUCAUUUGGCACUUCCACAAAGGCACACACUGCACAAGAAACCUCAGACAUUGCCAUCAGCUGUGAAAGGAGAGGAAAAGAUGAAUGAAGAUUAUGAAUUCAAGGACCCAUUGGGACUUCCAGAGAAAGAAACUGAGCUUGAUAACCUGACAGAGCUCAACACUGUCCACAAGAAGUGGAUUUCUAUCCUCACAUUAAGGAAGGAAAUAUGGACAUUCAGAGACCAGAGCAGAAAAGGAAGAACUCAUGGGUGACUUUCAGUGAGAUGAUAAGAUCAUCAACUCAGAUGAUGUGGAUCCCUCAGUUGGGCAAUUCUGGAACAUGGUGCAAACUGCAGUAGUCCCAGUGAAGAAAAAGUGAGUGGAGGGCCCUGGAUCCCUAGCCUGGAGGAAUGAGGGAGCAGGCACAUGCAGAAUUUUGCCUCUAGUGGAGGAUUCUAUGGGGGAUUUCCCCCAACACAGUGAAGCAGGCUCCCAGCCGCAUGGCAUUCACAGGACAGCACUUGUGGGUGGCUUGCCCAUGCCAUACCCGAACCUUGCUCCUGAUGUGGACUUGACUCCCAUCGUGCCAUCAGCAGUGAAAAUGAACCACACACCAAAUCCUGCAGUCUAUAACCCUGAAGCUGUUCAUGAGCCCAAGAAGAAAAAAUAUGCAGAGGGACUUGGCUGAGCAAGAAGCCCACACCUUUCUUUCUUAUGCAGAGAAAGGUUUCAUAGUCAUUUUAAAUAAACUGCCUUGGCUCUUUCCCUGGCCUUUUAUUGCCUCCUUCUUCCUUCUCCUUUCUAAGAUCAUUUUUUAUGUGAGGUCACAUACCCCAGGUUGAAUCCAGAGUUGUGGAGGUAGCAGUAACCUCACCAGUCUCAGGGUCCCCACAGUUUCAUUUAUAUUCACUGUCUUUGCAAGUCCCAGGUAGCAAAAGGGUUGCCAUGAAUCCCAGUGUUAUCAAAAAUGUUUAGCAUUCUUUCAUUAAGCUAAGAUUUAAACUCAGAAGUGUUUCCUCAGGUCUUAAGUUUUGAGAUCCAAUUUGUCAAAAAAGAAAAGAAAAUGUGGUAUGUAUACACAAUGGAAUAUUACUCAGCUCUAAAGAAGGAUGAAAUUUUGGCAUUUGCCAGUAAAUAGAUGGAACUGGAGCCUAUCAUGCUAAGUGAAAUAAGCCAGUCCCCCCAAACCAAAGGUUGAAUGUUCUCUCUGACAUGUGGAUGCUAACCCACAACAAGGG